AUUGAACGCUGGCGGCAGGCCUAACACAUGCAAGUCGAGCGGAUGAAGGGAGCUUGCUCCUGGAUUCAGCGGCGGACGGGUGAGUAAUGCCUAGGAAACUGCCUGGUAGUGGGGGAUAACGUCCGGACACGGGCGCUAAUACCGCAUACGUCCUGAGGGAGAAAGUGGGGGAUCUUCGGACCUCACGCUAUCAGAUGAGCCUAGGUCGGAUUAGCUAGUUGGUGGGGUAAAGGCCUACCAAGGCGACGAUCCGUAACUGGUCUGAGAGGAUGAUCAGUCACACUGGAACUGAGACACGGUCCAGACUCCUACGGGAGGCAGCAGUGGGGAAUAUUGGACAAUGGGCGAAAGCCUGAUCCAGCCAGGCCGCGUGUGUGAAGAAGGUCUUCGGAUUGUAAAGCACUUUAAGUUGGGAGGAAGGGCAGUAAGUUAAUACCUUGCUGUUUUGACGUUACCAACAGAAUAAGCACCGGCUAACUUCGUG
rnacentral:rRNA from 1 species